CCUCCUCAUGGCCUCAGGGAGAUUCAGACCCUUGAGGAGAGCAUCCUCCCGGUCAUCCACCCAGAGGUCUCUUCCGCAGCAGUCAUCUGCACAGAGAGCUUCCAGCCAGAACUUGAGGGGUGACAACCUGCUGGCUGUGUGUGAAGCGGCUGAGUGUGUUGGAGGAGGAGCAUGAGAAUGAAAGAAGGGACGUUUGGAGUGAGUCUCAUGCUCUGCCACCUGGGGGCAACAGCUCAAGCACUUGGGACUGGGGGGCCCUAGCUCCCGACCUCUUCAGGAGUUUUCUGCACACUGGAGGGCGUCCAAGCCAACACCCGGAGAUGGAGUUUGGAUUUCCACUUAUAGCCUCUUUGGCUAUUAAGGAACAGUGGCAGAGGGCUGUUGAUCCCAGCAAGGUCAUAUUCCAAAGCGGGAGCCAGGGCUUAAGCAGUUGUCCCAGUGGAAACUGAAGGGCUGUGAGGUGCUCCAUUAAUCGUCAUACUUUGCAUUCAGUAGAGAUGACUCAGAGGGCAAAGUGUCAUAGGAAAGAGUAGCAAUGUCAGUCCUAAAAUUAUUCCCAGGUGGUGGAAA